AGCUCUGGAAUCCAUCGUUCAUCGGCGAAUUCCGCUUUAAUUAAUCUUAGGCUGAUAAGAAAUCCCAGAGAUGUGGUCAUUAGUUUAGACUGCUUUGUCUGAGCCCCGGCCAGAGCGUAUUUACAGAACAGAGAAUCAUGUGUUCGUCGGCCAAAUGACUCAUCACGUUCCACCCUUUCCCUGUAGGCAUAUCAGAGGGGCACAAGGGAAUGUGAAUUCAAAUCCCGGUCUUGGGCCUUCCUUGUUGUAUAACCUUGAACGGAUUAUUUAACCUCUCUGGACUUCAGUUUCCAUAACUGUAAAGUGGGAUAAUGACGUCUACCUCAGAGCGUUGUUGCGAGGUCACGUGAGAAAUUGUUAGCAUAAUACCUAGUCCAUUGCAAGCGCCCAGUUAAGUGGUCGUAAUUAUAUUAUUUUCAACCGCUGGGACUAGUUGUAGGUACUAAGUUCUCCUGUGGUGAGAUUCGAAUAAAGACGUGCGCUGGUAGCUGGAAGCACGACCUCGAGCCUCCAGCUGAAACCUACGAGGAGGAUGUCCAUCGUAUAAGGCAACUAAAGCGACUUCGGUUGGAUUGUUUUGCACUCUCUGCCCCAAACAUGGCUAUUUGGACAGAGUCCAAAAUCAAGCCCUUAGGAGGCCAUCAGAUCAGUUGUAGCCAGAAAAACAAACAAACAAACGAACGAACGAACGAACACAAACAACACCAGAAAGCCAGAAACAAUGAAACUCCAAGGGAGUGUGGAAAGCAGGAUUGAAUUCUGGGUAGUGCACAACUCCAUGGCUCCUCCAAUGACCAGUGAAAAAUAACAUCAUGACCGUGAAGAUCAGACCCAUCACUUACAUACUUAAUCCUGAAGCCUGAUAAUUAAGUUUAAAAUGAAAUUGACUUUGAGAUCCAAGUGAUCAAGUUGGGUGAGUCUUUGUCGUUGGUGCAGAUCACCACAUCGUCAUUAGGUGUCUACAUCUUUUGGGGUGGCAUAAACCAAGAUGAGUGAGUGUGUCCCCUGGUUUCGGUAGAGAGGUCCGAUUUCCACUGGAUCUGG
rnacentral:lncRNA from 1 species